UGGAUUCAGCGGCGGACGGGUGAGUAAUGCCUAGGAAUCUGCCUGGUAGUGGGGGAUAACGUCCGGAAACGGGCGCUAAUACCGCAUACGUCCUGAGGGAGAAAGUGGGGGAUCUUCGGACCUCACGCUAUCAGAUGAGCCUAGGUCGGAUUAGCUAGUUGGUGGGGUAAAGGCCUACCAAGGCGACGAUCCGUAACUGGUCUGAGAGGAUGAUCAGUCACACUGGAACUGAGACACGGUCCAGACUCCUACGGGAGGCAGCAGUGGGGAAUAUUGGACAAUGGGCGAAAGCCUGAUCCAGCCAUGCCGCGUGUGUGAAGAAGGUCUUCGGAUUGUAAAGCACUUUAAGUUGGGAGGAAGGGCAGUAAGUUAAUACCUUGCUGUUUUGACGUUACCAACAGAAUAAGCACCGGCUAACUUCGUGCCAGCAGCCGCGGUAAUACGAAGGGUGCAAGCGUUAAUCGGAAUUACUGGGCGUAAAGCGCGCGUAGGUGGUUCAGCAAGUUGGAUGUGAAAUCCCCGGGCUCAACCUGGGAACUGCAUCCAAAACUACUGAGCUAGAGUACGGUAGAGGGUGGUGGAAUUUCCUGUGUAGCGGUGAAAUGCGUAGAUAUAGGAAGGAACACCAGUGGCGAAGGCGACCACCUGGACUGAUACUGACACUGAGGUGCGAAAGCGUGGGGAGCAAACAGGA
rnacentral:rRNA from 1 species